rnacentral:rRNA from 1 species
GACGAAUGCUGGCGGCGUGCUUAACACAUGCAAGUCGAACGGAAAGGCCCUGCUUUUGUGGGGUGCUCGAGUGGCGAACGGGUGAGUAACACGUGAGUAACCUGCCCUUGACUUUGGGGUAACUUCAGGAAGCUGGGGCUAAUACCGGAUAGGAGCUCCUGCUGCAUGGUGGGGGUUGGAAAGUUUCGGCGGUUGGGGAUGGACUCGCGGCUUAUCAGCUUGUUGGUGGGGUAGUGGCUUACCAAGGCUUUGACGGGUAGCCGGCCUGAGAGGGUGACCGGCCACAUUGGGACUGAGAUACGGCCCAGACUCCUACGGGAGGCAGCAGUGGGGAAUAUUGCACAAUGGGCGGAAGCCUGAUGCAGCAACGCCGCGUGCGGGAUGACGGCCUUCGGGUUGUAAACCGCUUUCGCCUGUGACGAAGCGUGAGUGACGGUAAUGGGUAAAGAAGCACCGGCUAACUACGUG